rnacentral:rRNA from 1 species
UUUGGCGGCCAUAGCGGCAGGGCAAUUCCUGUACCCAUACCGAACACAGAAGAUAAGCCUGCCAGCGUUCCUUACUGUACUGAAGUACGAGAGUCUUCGGGAACUCUGGAUCGCUGCCAUCUCACUCAUUUAAUCUUAUCUA